rnacentral:rRNA from 1 species
GACGAACGCUGGCGGCGUGCUUAACACAUGCAAGUCGAACGGAAAGGCCCUGCUUGCAGGGUACUCGAGUGGCGAACGGGUGAGUAACACGUGGGUGAUCUGCCCUGCACUUCGGGAUAAGCCUGGGAAACUGGGUCUAAUACCGGAUAGGAGCCAUUUUUAGUGUGAUGGUUGGAAAGUUUUUUCGGUGUAGGAUGAGCUCGCGGCCUAUCAGCUUGUUGGUGGGGUAAUGGUCUACCAAGGCGGCGACGAGUAGCCGGCCUGAGAGGGUGGACGGCCACAUUCGGACUGAGAUACGGCCCAGACUCCUACGGGAGGGCGCCGUGGAGGAUAUUGCACUAUGGGCGCGAGACAAAUGCAGCGCCGCCACGUGGGGGAGUACGGACUUUGGGUUAUAAACUUCUUUCGCUAGGAACCAAGCUUUUUGUGACGGUACCUAGAUAAGAAGCCCCGGCUAACUCCGUG